rnacentral:misc_RNA from 1 species
AACGCACAUUGCGCCCGCCAGCACUCUGGCGGGCAUGCCUGUCCGAGCGUCAUCUCAACCAUCGAGGCCCCCCGGGGCGUCGGCGCUGGGGGACGGCCCGCCCCGCCCGCUCGGCGGGGCGCGGCCGCCCCCGAAAUGCAGUGGCGAACCCGCCGCGGCCUCCCCUGCGCAGUACGAAGCUCGCACCGGAGCCCGGCGGGCCCGCGCCGUGAAAACCCCCACCCGCGAACGGUUGACCUCGGAUCAGGUAGGGCUACCCGCUGAACUUAA